rnacentral:tRNA from 1 species
GGGGUAAUAGCUCGUUGGUAGAGCACAUGCUUAGCAAGCAUGAGGUCCUGGGUUCAAUCCCUAGUACAUCCA